UAAUGUUUUAAAGUCAUAACUUUAACGAAGAAGUAUUCUUUUCAUUUCCAAAAUUAAUAUAUCAUAUAUAUUAAAUUUUAGGAACAUGAUUAACUCCCAUAUACAUUCUAUAGUUAUAGAAUGUUUAAAGUCAUAACUUUAACGAAGAAGCAUUCUUUUCAUUUCCAAAAUUAAUAUAUCAUAUAUAUUUAACUUUUAGGAACAUGAUUAACUCCCACUAAUCUUUUGUAAACCCAGUAAACAAAAGAUUCAUUUACAUCUUUAUGAGAAAUCAAACGAUUUGAUCCUUUUUCUCAUAAGAUGCUUAUAGCUCCCACUAGCUUGCUAAGAUUCAUGAUGGAUGGAUCUCUACAACUUACAUGUCUUGUGAUUUAUAGUUUUAGACAUAUAUUAUCAAGACUAUCUUAAUAAUGGUUUCGGAAACCCAUAUUAUGUCCAAACAUUGAAUCACCAUUUAGUUGUAGCUAGCAAUCUUCGAAUUAAUUGAAACCAUGACUAUCUCAAAGAUGGUUUCUUCAAAGUCAACCAUUCUCUUUGAUUGUAGUCACCUUAAGCUACCAAUUAGCUUAUGAAGGUUUCAUUAUUUCGGGUCAAAUGGUACUUUACCAUUUCCCUGAGUAUAUAUCAUAUAUACACUCAAUGUAGUCAUAAGGAUUUUCAUUCUUAUUUCUUUCGAAUUAAGAGGUGCAACUCUAUGACAUAGUCAUAAAGUUCAAACCAUUCAAUUGAGACGGUUUAAAAAUCCUUCUCGACUACCUUGGAGCUUUUGGUAUAGGAACUAGGUUGUUAUAUUUGUUGAUUAUUAUCUUGUCUCUCAAAGAACCCAUUCUUUGAGUUCUAUCUCUUGUUCAUUUGCUCUUAGGCAAAUCACAUUGUAGGAUUACAAUGAACUACCCAACAAAACAACAUUUGUUAGUUGGUUUAUAGAAGCGAUAUCCAAAAGUUAAUUUAAGGAUAUCCCACAAGAUUGUUAUCAAACAAAUAUUGCUUAUUAGCACAUAACCCCAAAUCUUAACAUGCUUAAGUUUUGUCUUUCUUUCCAACUACAUCUUAUGGAGUUAUGAAAAUUUUGGAAGAUCUUCUAAUUGACAAUCAUAUUGUUUUAGAAGUAUAUAUAUCAUAUAUAUGGGUAAUAGAUAACAUCCAACGAACUAAAUCUUAUUCGAGUUCGUUCUUCUCCUAAUGGAGAAAUUCAUUAUCUUAUGAUGCUAUUCUCCUUGAUAUCUUUCAAGGAAACUCAUCUAAAGUGUUACUUUUCCUUGGAUCAAAUCUAAGGAGAUAAAUACUUUAGACGUCUUACUCAUCAACUUACAUUUCUUGAAUUCUUUGAAACAUUUUGCAAAGUAUUCGGACUUGUGUUUAUUCAUAAUAAACUAUAGUCCAACCGAGAGUGAUCAUCGGUGAAUGUCAUCUUGCAUUAGUAGUAUUAUGUUGUGGACAAGUGCCACUAACAUCUAAGUGAAUUAACCUCAACAACUUUGUGAUUCUUUCAUCUUUCCAAAAGAAUAAAGAUUCGAACAUUUCGCCUCUAUACAAUUUUAACAAGAAGGUAUUGGAUCCGGAUCUAACGAUCCAAAGCAUCCAUCUAUGACCAACUCGUAAUUUAUGUUUUAGAGGUAUCACAACUCAGUUGGGAUUAGUCACUACCUUGCAACCUUUUGGGUUUUAAGCAUCAUUAUGUUCUAAACAGUUAACACUACCAUAUCAUCUCUACUAUAGAGACAAUCAAUUAGAUUACAAUAAUCCAAUCAUUAAUUAAUAAAGAACAAUGUUUUGUCAAACAAAACAUUCAUCCAUCUCUACUAUAGUGACGGAAUUAAGUUCCUUAAAAUUGGAAUGUAAAGACAAUCUUUGGUUUUUCCAAUUUCUUUGGUAGUUCAUAUGAGGAAGUAAGUACUAUCUACUUUUGCAGAGAUCUAUAUUUUAUUCACGUUCCGAAUGUGAAGCACCUUUUCUUCUCUCAUAUUUCUUCUACUUCUUAUUAGUCACACUUUUACAACGAUUGUAAAACAUAGUUGCUAAUACAGAAUCAAGCAUUCAAGUAGAAGAACCAACUGUUUUGAACUUUUCAAGAACAAUUUACAACACCUUCGAAAUGUGUGUUCUUGACACUUGCAAGACAUUUCUUGCAAAUACCCCUUCCAAUGUCCAUCCUUUCAUAAAGAAAGAUUGUUCCCUUGGAGUUAAUAUUAUCUUCUUCAUUUGACUUCUCCUUUGACUACAAUAGUCAUGGUCCCUAAACUCCCACUAUCUCUCUUGAAACUUAUUUCAAUUGUGUUAUACACAUCAAACAAUUUGGAGAGAGUGUAGUUAUUGUUCACUACAUAGUUUACAAUAAACUUAGUGAACCAUUAGGAUAGGGACAUAAAGGUGAAGUCCUUGCCUAGUUUCCGUCUCGUUAAGUGGUUUAACACUUCAACACUCAAUGAUUCAAAAUCAUCAUAAGUCCAUGUUGAUGGACUAUUUUUGUCAACCAACCAUUAUGUUCUAAACAUAAUUACAAACUUUCAAGAGUUGUACAACGCAACUCUCAUUUCUUCAUACAACAAUUUGUAAGUGAAGAAUCAUGGCACAUAAAGUGUCCAUGCCCUUGUGCUUACUUCUCAAGUUCCUUGUUUAUGUAACAAAGAAACAAGCACUAAGUGUUUGCAUUGACUAAGGGUUGUUCAAAGCAACUCUUAUUUCUUCAUACAACGAUUUGUAAGUGAAGAAUUAUGACAUUAAAAGUGUUGUCCUCCUUAUGAUAGACUUAUCUAACAUAUUCUUCUAAUGAUACGUUAUCAAUAAGAAGAUUGUGAGGAUGAGAAUACUUAGGUACAUUUACAAGCCAUUUAAAGACAAUCUAUGGUUUUGUAGUACCAAGUCCGGAAACUAAAGCUUUCGGCUUUUAUUUGUCAAGUGUUGGAUAGCGUUUGCAAAUAUAUUGGUAAAUAAAUACAUAACGAAUAUAAUGAAGGAUGAUUUUGUGAAAACAUGUUCAUUUAAGCAACAUCUAUAAGCAUGCAAUUAACAAUUAAAGGCGGAAUCAUGCUUUCAUGCACUAAAAAACAAAACAUUACCAUGAAAUUCAAAGCCUAGUAGAUUGGUGAACCAAGACUCAACUCAAAUCAAAGUGAGUUGAGAAAUUU
rnacentral:lncRNA from 1 species